GUGCAAUGAUGCAUUUUAGUUAUCAACACAUCAUUCUGAACUCAUGAGAUGUGUGUAAAAUUAAUGACUGAGCACA
rnacentral:snoRNA from 13 species